UACGUAGGGUGCAGGCGUUAAUCGGAAUUACUGGGCGUAAAGCGUGCGUAGGCGGCUUUGCAAGACAGAUGUGAAAUCCCCGGGCUUAACCUGGGAACUGCAUUUGUGACUGCAUGGCUGGAGUGCGGCAGAGGGGGAUGGAAUUCCGCGUGUAGCAGUGAAAUGCGUAGAUAUGCGGAGGAACACCGAUGGCGAAGGCAAUCCCCUGGGCCUGCACUGACGCUCAUGCACGAAAGCGUGGGGAGCAAACAGG
rnacentral:rRNA from 1 species